UUAAGCACAUGGAAAUCAUUGUUUUGUGAAUUAUUGAGUUAUUUCAUGACUUAAAAAAGCGGGCUGUGCGUGACGGACUGUGAAACUCAAUCUCCCAUGAUUCCGUAGUACCGGAACUUACUAUCAUCAUUUGUACCGGAACUGAUAAGUGUUGUGUUCGUUGUUAUUACACUUCAGUGGUUGUGUGGAAUACUUCACCCAAUUUAAAAUAAGAAAUUACUCUGCAUAUAAUACAUACCAUAUAAUAAACAUAAUAAACUAUUCUAAUUAGAUCUUUGGUGGUGUACUGUAGCUAGUUUAUUUAUUGCCUGUAUGUGUCCCAUAUAACUGAUUCCAUAGUUACACUGGUGUCUGCACAUUUAAAACUGUAAACUAAGUCUCUUUUUGCUGCCUGUAUAUCAAUUGUGCAAAUGUGAAUAUACAAAUAUAGUUCAGAAAUAAUAAUACCAGGAUUGCUCAAUUGCUCAAAUCCCACAAUAAGAAAAUUCACCUAUCCCCACAAUAACGAAUCCUUUUCCUUGUUGACUUAAUUUUUAUUUUACCUUUAAUGACCCAAUAAGGGUUCAAAUGUAAAAUGUGGUUGGGAAACCCUGCACUAAAGAAACUCCAAGAGAGAUGCCAAGAGCGAGAUCACCCUUGCGGGAUUUCUUAACAGACUUAUCAAGGCUAGGAUCGUUACACUAGUCCCUCGGUUCACAAGACACAACCUGUGCUUCUCUAACAAAUUAUUCAGCUUUAACAGGACAUAUUGACCUGAGGUAGCCGUGAAGCCAGGUCGCUUGACCCUGAGGAAAUCACACUACACACAACAACCCCAAAAGAGUAAGGGCCUCAUCAAGGCUAGCGUCGUUCAACUGUCAGGCAGCAUGACUACCUUGUUAGGAUAUUUCUAACUACUACUAAAUGCUGUUGCAAAAUACUAAUGAUUUUUUGCUGGCUCACUGGCUUUUAUUUCAAUGUGGUAUUAAAUACAAAGUAGUGAUAUAAAAUGUUCAAAUGCUCGGACCGAUUGACUGUAACCUAAGCCUCUGUCUUGCAGGCAUGAACUCUUAGGUAUGUAUUAAAAAUAGAUUCAAAAUGUUAUAUCACUCCCAAAAUAAGAGGAACCACAGCUACGGUACAUUAAAACCACAUAGUCAUGGACUUGUAAUUGAAUUACAUAUGUAUCUAAUAUAAUGACCUACAGUUUAUAUCAUAAUUUGAUGACAUAUAUCUGUCAAAGUGGAUUCCUAUCUCGUCACCCAAAAAACUCAGUUAUACUAAUGCCUUUAAGUUACAUUAUAUAAAUAACACAAUUUUUAUUUAAUAGUUUUCAGUACCAGUACCCAUCCUCCUGCAGUACCCAUGCUCUUGCACCUAUCCCCACAAGAUACAGGUACAGUAUGCUAGAAUGCCAAACAUAUGCCAUGCCAAACUUUUAAAAAGUUAAUACAGCCAAGCUAUUCUUUUCAUCAAUUCUGUCAUUACAUUUUUAUACUUAAAAAAAAAAUCUCCACAAGAUUCCCUGAUGCAGGACCUAGAGCAGGUGCUGGGGAGUUUCACAGGGCCAGGUUGUAUGUAACCUGAAAAGUGACUUGGGCAGAGAGGCAGACCUUGUGUGCACAAAAGUGGGGGGAAAAGAGAGACAAUGGUCGACAGCAUGCUCUCUGCUGAAGGUACUGUAUUGGGCCAGUGUCAGUUUGAAGGGUUUUAUUGCCCCUUGUCCCCAAACAACCUUAAUUCAUCAGGAUGAUGAGGGGUCCCUUACAUUCCAGGAGCAAGGUGUGUGAUUAAGUGUUUCAACUUAAAUCUGAUAGCACCUCCUUCGAUACCCACUUUUUGUCCUGCACAAUUUUCAAAUCAUAAGUAUCUACAGUCCAAAUAUAAUUAACAAUUUAUUUGGGAUUCUUUUGUGUUACAUUUUGGUUUCUAGUUUGUCUUUUGCCCAUGGCUAUGCCACAGCAGUGUGUUUUCCCCACGCUCCCCAGCGCCCUGACAGUGACGAGUUGCAAGCAGUCAUCCUGAUUGGAAUAAAUGGGCACUACAAACUGUCCCUUCCUGAUAUGAACUGCUCCGGGUGUCUGAGACAUUGGAGAGUGGGGCUGGACGAACUUGUAAAGAGUGGCUUCUUGCCAGCCACCGUGACUCACCAGACCAUCUUCACAGUUGACCUCUUCAAGUCCUUUGAAGACAUAAAGGUGUUGGCUCCAAGAUGCUCCCGUCAUGCCUUUGUGGGAAUGCUUGACGAAAGAACAAAUCACUUUGGCAGAAGUGGAAAGAAAUGUGGCGGCACAUUCCAGAAGGCAUUCCUCGAGUGGAAGUAGGGCGUUUGGAAAUAACCAAGCUUUGUGGAAGCGAUCUCCUCCAUUGUCCUGCCUGCUCACAGGAGAUGCAUGCGAUAUCAGUGGAUGGGAAUUGUAAGCAAUACCGCUUCCAGAAUGCCUCAGGGUUUGUACUACCUUCUUAUGUGUUGAUGUUUUGUUCAGGGUAUAAUUAUGCCUUCUUAAAGUGCAUGCUGGUCGUCUUUUUGGGAUGAAGUAUAUGUUUGCAGUGUUAUAUUGCAGUUGGUCUUCUUUUUAGAAGAACAUUAAUUGUCAAGUAGAAGGUCAUUUCCCAUUCAGAAAAAUUGUGGAACGGUGACAUUUCCUUCUUUAUCCCAACUCCUCCGAGACACGCACACACACACACACACACACACACAGACACACACACACACACACACACACACACACACACACACACACAGGUUGGAGCAACACUGUCAGAUGUCUGGGAUAUGAACCAGCAACCCCUCUCUAACUUCUAGGCUACCUGCCACCCCUUGGUGGUUUGGUUUGAUGUAAUCUUGCAGCCUAACUCUAUUUGGUGCCGAGAAUUACUUCUACGACGGUGUCUUCCUGGCGAAAGACAUGUCUAUAAAAAGACCAAGCAUGUCAUUUUUCUCUUACACAGUUUAAUAUAGCUUUAAUGUCACCCAGUUUAGAACUUGUUUAUUUUAAGUUAAUCUCUGCACUACACUGUGACUUAUUAUGUUGUAGAUGCCAGUCAAAGGAGUGUGUGGCACAUCAGAGUGGACAGCGGCCAAAGAGACGUCAGGCAAAUCAUCUGCCAAAGUAGAUGAGGAGGGCCUUGAGAUAGUAGUUUGCCGAUACAACGUUUUCCUCAAAUAGAAUGAAUACAUUAUUUAAAACAUUUAUUUGUUCAUUAAGGCAUUAUAGCUCAAAUGGGGAGGCCGCAAUUAGUCUCUGGCACCACAACCAGAGAGGAAGUCGAGCAGGACAUCAAUGACGCUGUGCUUCACGAGUGGGUUUCUGAGGUGCAGCAGUGGAUGUUUCUCUCUCUCAAUUUCAGAAUUUGUCACAUCUGCUCCUGCAACGCCCUCUACUGCUCAUCCUGUGUCUCCUUGACCUGCCGAC